rnacentral:rRNA from 1 species
CCUACGGGAGGCAGCAGUGGGGAAUAUUGCACAAUGGGGGAAACCCUGAUGCAGCGACGCCGCGUGAGUGAAGACGUAUUUCGGUAUGGAAAGCUCUAUCAGCAGGGAAGAAAAUGACUGUACCUGAUUAAUAAGCCCCGGCUAACUACGGGCCAGCAGCCGCGGUAAUACGUAGGGGGCCAGCGGUAUCCGGAUUUACUGGGUGUAAAGGGGGCGUACGGCAGCACAAGGCUGGAGUGAAAUGCCGGGGCUUAAACCCGGAACUGCUGUGGAAACUGUGCAGCUAGAGUGCAGGAGAGGUAAGUGGAAUUCGUAGUGUAGCGGUGAAAUGCGUAGAUAUCAGGCGGAACACCAGUGGCGAAGGCGGCUUACUGGACUGUAACUGACGUUGAGGCUCGAAAGCGUGGGGAGCAAACAGGAUUAGAUACCCCAGUAGUC